ensembl:lncRNA
GGCUUGUCCAUUCCUCUUAACGUUACCGUUGCCCACCGCCAGGUGGCAGCAGACGACCAGUACGACCAGUACGACCCACUCACACCACAACACCAGGAAGAGCCGCUUCUCCAAACAAACUUCCCGAUUCCACUGUGAGAGCUACCUAGAACAAGCCCCUUGGUGUUUAUGGAGGUGGCCUUCGGCGACAUUAGUUCCCCAUGGCUGGCAGUAGGCCUCUGGUUAACCGUCUAAGCACAAUCCACUUCAAUUAAUCACACGUUCUCCAGUCAACUCGAGAACGCUUGAAACGAGGCAAACAUCAUGCCAGUGCAUGAUCCAACACUUCAGUGCUACGAUAUUUCCAGUGCAGAAACAGGAUGACAAUGCGCAUUAAUCAAACCACUGGAACCUGCCGCUGAUUAAUUAUCCCCGCGGAAAGAAGUUGUUACAGACGAGGACAGCAGCUGUCAAACGUUCACAGGCUAAUGAGCAAGGACCAACGACAAAAGGAGAGGACUGGACCUCUUCAGAUAGACACGAGGCGCUCGUUUUAGUAACGCCACUGCUGAAGAGACCAUGGACCAUCUCAGAAAGUGCUCUCCCAAACUGUAAACAGUGAAGUGUGUGCUGCAGGCUUAUCAUGAGGAGAUCUCUUAUUGUGACCACUGGGUGGCACUACACCUCUCUGAUCGAUAUCUACCAGCUCAUUACCAUAUCCCGCUGGAAAUCUCUUUUAAAACAGCUAUAAUUAAAAUAAAAAAUUAUAAAAUCUAAAAACG